CAAAGUUAAUGGAAGUUUGAAUAUUGGAUUUGGAUGUUAUGUGAUUCAUGCGUUGGCAAUUAGUUUAAGUGGUUAAGGAAAUAGGUUGGCAAUUGUUAGACGAUUAGCAAGGGAAAAUGGAAGAACAAAGGUUGUAGCUUUUAGAAGAACCUAAACGAAGACUAGUUCGUAUCAAUUUUGAUACAAAAUAAUUUAACGAAGGAGAGAGACAAACGAGAUUGGAUUAAACGAUCAAUCAAGAUAGCCAGAAACUAGAACGAUUUUAUUUAGAUAGAAAUACUAAAUCUUCUAAAUUAAUAAUUUCUCGUUUUAGACGUACAAUUUUAUUUUAUAAAAUUAAUAAUUGUAAAAAGAGUCAAGCUGUUAAUUGAAUUUUCAAAAAAAAUAUACACACACGCAUCGCCUACUUAUAAAAUCGUAAAAAAAUCAAGCUGUCGACGAAUCCCUAAAAAACUUACGCCAGUUUAACACACUGAGGAAGAAUGCUCUUCGGUGGGGACAACCAGGGGAAUGCAAUGUUAGAAGAGAGAGGGGAGGAAGGGAGGAAGGCACAGGCCUGCGAUUGUACACACGUGGCACAACAGUAGUUAUCGAGAGAGACAGAUGCGAAAUUGAGAAGGAAACGGGACGAAGAGGUGCGAGCAGAUUAUGCAGCGAAACUCGCGCCUGUUUAAUAAACGAUAUCGAUAAAACUGUAAACAGAGAAAGGAAUUCGUUACCAUCGGUGAUAUAUUUGUGUGCACGUUGAACAGAUAUGAGGCCACGAUAUAGAACUCGUUUCGGAAUUUUAUCGCGUCUUGCGCGUGAAAAAAAAUUCAAUAUCACCUCUGUUCGCGGUAUGAGCAAACAUGAUGAUAAAUUGGAAUACGUAAUUGGAUCUGGAGGAUGCAAUUUUUCGUACUUUUAUAUUUUCUAUUGCGCACAAUACAAUUCUAAUAUUAUCAUGCAUUUAAUAAAAAAAAAAAAAGCAAUUUUAAAGUCAAUCAGAAAUACAACGCAAAUAAAUUGAAAAAUCUGUACAAUGAAUGAAACGAAAUGUUGUAAUCCAAAAGAUCGUAAUAAAAGUUAAAUUGAUUUUCAAAUUAGGAAUGGAGGAAUGAUUGAGUGGAAAAGAGAAACAAUUUGCCGAAAAAUGUUGGAAGGAAAAACUCGUAGUCGACAAGUGUUUAGCACACUUUGAAAUAAUUGUGUCGUCAUCGAGAACCCGGACUCGUUCCAGCCGACGGAUGUUACUCGGUUAUUUACGAUUGGGGAAAAAAACCAGAAUGCAUGGUGUUCAACGUGAGUUGCAGCAAGGACGCGCGAACAAUCGUGAAUUAGCCGCGUGAAAUUGCCGCGACUACCUGUUGGACUUUCGAUUUCUUCUGGAACUUUGCCUCCGUUAUUGUUGUCAUCGAUAUGACACAUGCUUCUUUGUGUUGUUUGAUUUAUUAAUAAACGUGACCGUUUUUUUUAA